rnacentral:rRNA from 1 species
UCGUGAAUUAAUUUGUCUGAUUUAUUUCGUUAACGAACGAGAUCUUUAACUUCAUUAACGCUUUUAUGGAGUGACUGUGCAUUCAAAUGCAAGGAAGAAAGAGGCAAUAACA